AAUGUUGGCAUUAAAAAAACUACACUUUGAUCUUCAAAACUGCAGAGUUUGGGUUUCAGCAGCAAAAGAAACCACCUCCAUGUGCAGAGCAUCCAGCCACGCUCACUUGGCGAACUGCCACUGAGAAGUAACAUUGAAACUCUCAGCAAGGUUGCACAGGACUAGAAGUUAUGUAAAACAGCUGGACUGAAAUACAACAUUCUGUUCAGAAGCCUGAAUGGCCUGCAGCACAAUUCCAGUGUAUUCUGAUGCACCAUGGAAAUCAACCUGCCUGACCUCCCAAGUGAACUGACUUGGAUUAGAAACUCUUUUAAUCAAGACCAUCGAUACAGAGGGAAAGUUAUAAAUGAGAAAGGCUCAGAAGAAUUGUUCCUGCAGACUUUAACAGGGCGCUGCGCAACAGGCGAGAGCAACAACAACAACAAAGUACAAUGAGAAAAGAGAAAAAGCCAACGGGCACCAGGAACCAAAGCGCCUCCGGCCCCAGCGCUGCCCCGUCACUGCGAACCCCCGAACGCACACACGGCCUCGCCUCUCCCUCCCUCUUCUUCUCCUCCUCUCCCUCUUCC